UGCCCCAUGGCUGAGUUGGUUACAGCGUCCGACUGUUACGGCAUUACGUCCGGCUAUCGGAAGGUCGUGAGUUCGAGCCUCACUGGGGCAG